AUUUUAUACAUCUAUAAAUACAAGUACAGCUGUACGUAUGCCCAUCAGAACAAAACUAGAAGACAGUUUAGCAGCAACUCGCUCACACAAAUAAUUUGAAAGAUAUUUUACUUGGGAAGACUAAUGAUGAAGAUCUUUAUGAUUUUGCUAUGUGUAUUUUUACUUCGUUCGCAUUGUGCUUUUGGUGGUGACGAGUGGUGUCUUGACAGUGGUGACACAG